CCUACGGGGGGCAGCAGUAGGGAAUCUUUCACAAUGGGCGAAAGCCUGAUGGAGCAACGCCGCGUGCAGGAUGAAGGCCUUCGGGUUGUAAACUGCUUUUAUAAGCGAGAAAUAUGAUGGUAACUUAUGAAUAAGGAUCGGCUAACUACGUGCCAGCAGCCGCGGUCAUACGUAGGAUCCGAGCAUUAUCCGGAGUGACUGGGUGUAAAGAGUUGCGUAGGUGGCAUAAGAAGUAGCUAGUGAAAUCUGGUGGCUCAACCAUUCAGACUAUUAGCUAAACUGUUAAGCUCGAGACCGUUAGGGGUAACUGGAAUGUCUAGUGUAGGAGUGAAAUCCGUAGAUAUUAGAAGGAACACCAAUAGCGUAGGCAGGUUGCUGGGACGGUUCUGACACUAAGGCACGAAAGCGUAGGGAGCAAACGGGAUUAGAUACCCUUGUAGUC
rnacentral:rRNA from 1 species